rnacentral:tRNA from 1 species
AAGACUUUAGCUUAAUUAAAGCACUUGCUUUGCAUGCAAGGGAUGUGAGGUAAUAUCUUGCAAGUCUUA